rnacentral:miRNA from 1 species
UGAUGAUGAUGAUGAUGAUGAUAGUGAUGAUAGUGAUGAUAGUAGCAAAUCUCCAACGGCAUUUCAUCAUCACAUGAGAAUAGUCGAUCAUCACCAUCAUCAUCAUGCUAA